rnacentral:rRNA from 1 species
UGCAAGUCGAGCGGACAGAUGGGAGCUUGCUCCCUGAUGUUAGCGGCGGACGGGUGAGUAACACGUGGGUAACCUGCCUGUAAGACUGGGAUAACUCCGGGAAACCGGGGCUAAUACCGGAUGCUUGAUUGAACCGCAGGUUCAAUUAUAAAAGGUGGCUUUUAGCUACCACUUACAGAUGGACCCGCGGCGCAUUAGCUAGUUGGUGAGGUAACGGCUCACCAAGGCAACAAUGCGUAGCCAACCUGAGAGGGUGAUCGGCCACACUGGGACUGAGACACGGCCCAAACUCCUACGGGAGGCAGCAGUAGGGAAUCUUCCGCAAUGGACGAAAGUCUGACGGAGCAACGCCCCGGGAGUGAUGAAGGUUUUCGGAUCGUAAAACUCUGUUGUUAGGGAAGAACAAGUACCGUUCGAAUAGGGCGGUACCUUGACGGUACCUAACCAGAAAGCCACGGCUAACUACGUGCCAGCAGCCGCGGUAAUACGUAGGUGGCAAGCGUUGUCCGGAAUUAUUGGGCGUAAAGCGCGCGCAGGCGGUUUCUUAAGUCUGAUGUGAAAGCCCCCGGCUCAACCGGGGAGGGUCAUUGGAAACUGGGGAACUUGAGUGCAGAA